GAUGAACGCUAGCGGCAGGCUUAAUACAUGCAAGUCGAGGGGCAGCAUGAUUGUAGCAACACAAUUGAUGGCGACCGGCAAACGGGUGCGGAACACGUACACAACCUUCCAACAAGUGGGGGAUAGCCCAGAGAAAUUUGGAUUAAUACCCCGUAACAUAGCGAUGUGGCAUCACAUUGCUAUUAUAGAUUUUUCGCUUGUUGAUGGGUGUGCGGCUGAUUAGAUAGUUGGCGGGGUAACGGCCCACCAAGUUUACGAUCAGUAGCUGAUGUGAGAGCAUGAUCAGCCACACGGGCACUGAGACACGGGCCCGACUCCUACGGGAGGCAGCAGUAAGGAAUAUUGGACAAUGGACGCAAGUCUGAUCCAGCCAUGCCGCGUGAAGGAUUAAGGUCCUCUGGAUUGUAAACUUCUUUUAUAAGGGACGAAAAAAGGCUUUUCUAAGUCGUCUGACGGUACCUUAUGAAUAAGCACCGGCUAACUCCGUGCCAGCCGCCGCGGUAAGAC
rnacentral:rRNA from 1 species